rnacentral:rRNA from 1 species
UACAGAGGGGGCAAGCGUUGUUCGGGAUUACUGGGCGUAAAGGGCGCGUAGGCGGCCUGCUAAGUCGGAUGUGAAAUCCCCGGGCUCAACCCGGGAACUGCGUCCGAUACUGGAAGGCUUGAAUCCGGGAGAGGGAUGCGGAAUUCCAGGUGUAGCGGUGAAAUGCGUAGAUAUCUGGAGGAACACCGGUGGCGAAGGCGGCAUCCUGGACCGGCAUUGACGCUGAGGCGCGAAAGCCAGGGGAGCAAACGGG